CGGCGUGCCUACACAUGCAAGUCGUACGAGAAAGUCGGCUUCGGCCGGCGAGUAAAGUGGCGCACGGGUGAGUAACGCGUGGAUAAUCUACCCUUGAGUUGGGAAUAACGUGCCGAAAGGUGCGCUAAUACCGAAUAAUACUGAGUGACUAAUGUUGCUUAGUCAAAGAAGGCCUCUGCUUGCAAGCUUUCGCUGAAGGAUGAGUCCGCGUACCAUUAGCUAGUUGGUAGGGUAAUGGCCCACCAAGGCGACGACGGGUAGCCGGCCUGAGAGGGUGACCGGCCACACUGGAACUGAGACACGGUCCAGACUCCUACGGGAGGCAGCAGUGGGGAAUUUUGGGCAAUGGGGGAGACCCUGACCCAGCGACGCCGCGUGAGGGAAGACGGCCUUCGGGUUGUAAACCUCUUUUGUACGGGAAGAUAAUGACGGUACUGUACGAAUAAGUCCCGGCUAACUACGUGCCAGCAGCCGCGGUAAUACGUAGGGGACGAGCGUUGUCCGGAAUUACUGGGCGUAAAGGGCGCGCAGGCUGCGUUACAAGUCAGCUGUUAAAAUCAUGGGCUUACCCCAUGAGUGCGGUUGAAACUGUAGUGCUAGAGUACUGUAGAGGCAAGCGGAAUUCCCAGUGUAGCGGUGAAAUGCGUAAAUAUUGGGAGGAACACCGGUGGCGUAGGCGGCUUGCUGGACAGUAACUGACGCUGAGGCGCGAAAGCCAGGGGAGCAAACGGGAUUAGAUACCCCGGUAGUCCUGGCUGUAAACGAUGAAUGCUAGGUGUGGGUGUAGCGAUACAUCUGUGCCGUAGUUAACGCGUUAAGCAUUCCGCCUGGGGAGUACGGUCGCAAGAUUGAAACUCAAAGGAAUUGACGGGGGCCCGCACAAGCGGUGGAGCAUGUGGUUUAAUUCGAUGCAACGCGAAGAACCUUACCUGGGCUUGACAUCCCUGGAAUUCCGUGGAAACACGGAAGUGCCUUUCGGGGAACCAGGAGACAGGUGCUGCAUGGCUGUCGUCAGCUCGUGUCGUGAGAUGUUGGGUUAAGUCCCGCAACGAGCGCAACCCUUAUCUUUAAUUGCCAGCAUUCAGUUGGGCACUUUAAAGAGACUGCCGGUGUUAAACCGGAGGAAGGUGGGGAUGACGUCAAGUCCUCAUGGCCUUUAUGCCCAGGGCUACACACGUGCUACAAUGGGUGGUACAAAGAGUAGCAAGCUCGCGAGAGUGAGCAAAUCUCAAAAAGCCAUCCUCAGUUCGGAUUGGAGUCUGCAACUCGCCUCCAUGAAGUUGGAAUCGCUAGUAAUCGCGGAUCAGCAUGCCGCGGUGAAUACGUUCCCGGGCCUUGUACACACCGCCCGUCACACCCGGAAAAUCGAUUGCACCAGAAGUCGUUAAGCUAACCCCUUCACA
rnacentral:rRNA from 1 species